UUUGUUGUUGUUUUAAAACCUGGACACCACUGAUCGUGAAGUUUGUGAUGUGCUUAUACCUGAACUUGUUAAAGAGAAAAAUAUCAGGGAGAAUUAGUGUUUCUAUCUACUCCUCAGACUAUUAAAAGUGGUUUUUGUUAACUCUGUCCUGAUAAUUGAUGUUAUAUUGGUGAUAGGGAGCAAUUUAGUUUUACUAUCUAGAAAGUACUGAUUAUGAAGAUUGUGCUUAUAGGUUUAUACCUAAAUUUGUGAGAGAGAAAUAUCAUUGAGAAUUAGUGUUUGUAAGUCGUUUUUGUUCACUUUGUUCUGAUAAUUGAUGUUAUAUUGGUGAUAGGGAGCAAUUUGGUUUUACAUUCUAGAAAGCACUGAUUAUGAAGUUUGUGCUGAUACGUUUGUGCCUAAAUUUGUGAAUGAGAAAAUUAACAGUGAGAAUUAGUGUUUGUAAGUGGUUUUUGUUCACUUUGUCCUGAUAAUUGAUGUUAUAUUGGUGAUAGGGAGCAAUUUUGUUUUACAAUCUAGAAAGCACAGUUCAUGAAGUUUAUGCUGAUAGGUGAAUUUGAAACCGAAGGUUCCCACCAGGGCCAUAUGUACAGAGCAUCUUGAACUAAGAAAAGAAAUACUGACUCUCCUGAGUCUCCAGAAACAGGAAGUAUUCACCUGCUGAUCUUAGUCCAAAUUUGGCAACUGAGUGAAGUCCACGAAGGUGGUUCUGUAGUUGUCCAAAUUUUGGUAGAUUCCAGCAAACAAGAUUAAAGUUGAUUUUAUAUAAGAAUGGUUGAUUAUCGCUUUU